AAAUACACAAGUGGAAAAUUACUAAUUACCCUACGUCAUUCAGCGCGUAUAAGAGAGAGCAGGGCUAGAAAAAUUUUAGACAUCAUGUAGAUUCUUUAAAGUCAGACACCGCCCGAGUCCUUUAGACUACCAUAUGAUGUAGUGCUUUCCGGAGUCUAGCCAUGCUGGUUAGACUUUUAUAUGAAUGGGGUUGAGAGAAAGACAUGUUAAUUUAAAGUAUUGUAAUGUAGACUAUUGUUUAACUGUUGUGACAUAAUCAUGCAUAGAAAAAACUAUUGUUGUUCCUGUUACAUAUUUAAUUUCGGUUUCAUGAGAAAACACAAUGGUGAAGUCCUUAAGAGAGAUACAACAGUAGCAGUCCAGAGUCAAACCAACCUCUCGACGAUCAGGCCAAAACUAAAAGAUAUGUAGCCGGACACAUAGUGUUACAUAUUAUUCAAACGUUUUCAAAUGCUAAGUUAAAACAAACAGAAAGAAGUCAAUAUCCACAUCAGAUAAAAUACUUCUCUAUCUACCAAUGUCACAAUCCAAACAAACAUGAAAGAAAUCGUCCCCAAAAAAGUCCUGUGUGUUUUGGCAAGAAGUUGAAUAGUAUGACGUAAAUAUCGAAUUCAGAUGCUAAGAUAAGUGAGCUGGUGAGUUUGAGCAAUGAAGCUAAAUCCAAAUCAUAUAAUCCUUAUAGUAAAUUUAGAGUUGGUGCGGCUCUCUUAACAGUGGAUGGUAAAAUAUUUACAGGCUGUAAUGUAGA